ACAAAUUUUCCUCGGUGACUAUUAUUUAGAACUAGUGUAAGAGUACCUCAUGUAAAAUAUUGAUCUCCAUUUCAGAAUGAUGCAGAGAGGAAGGACAUUAUUGUUAGGAUUUUAAGAUUUUAUUGUAAUUGUGUCAGUUACAUCUUGGUACAGCUUUAGUUUACUCAGUUUAAGCCAUGGGCAACUACUGUGAAUCAUUGACUGACUGUUAUUGCAAUGGCAUUACUUAACACCUUGAGUAACUGUCUCUAAGGUGAUGAAGCCAGGUAAAAAAGAAAUGUUCUUUCUCGACUCAUGAUGUGCUAAGAAAAGGACAGGAUUUGGUGGCCACCAAUAUGUGUCACUCUUGAGGUAAAUUUUCUGUUUAUGUUAGUGUGCAGGAACCUGUUCAGUGUUCCAGGUUAAGUACAUUUUAGAUCACGUUCUGAUCUAUUUUGUGUUCAGCAUGUCUUCAGCUUAUUCAGUGAAUUCACAUGCUUACUUGAAAAACCUGUAAUGUGGAGUAUAGCCUUUUGAUUAAAAGGUGAUACAUCAGAUGUUAAAUCAGAUAUUUAAAUAAUAGUAUUAAAAUACCUAGAAGAUGAGUUCUGACAGUAGAAUUGGUUUAUCCGAUAUAGUUACCAAAUUAUGUCAUUAAAUUGUCAUUAUAAUUGGGCAGUACAGUUCAGUCUGAAUAAAUGUGUCAGCUAAAUGCUGUAAAUGUUAAAAUAUGAUGAAACAGAAAAUUACAGAACUUCUGUAGAGGUUGAUCAAGACUAAGCAUAUGAAUGUACUUUCACUCUUACAAGUACCUGGGUGUUCACCUCAACAAUAAACUGGACUGGAGUACAAAUACUGAUGUCCUGUAUAAAAAGGGCCAGAGUAGACUCCAUCUGUUGAGGAGACUGAGGUCCUUCGGAGUAUGCAGGAUUUUGUUAAGGUCAUUCUACGACUCUGUGGUGGCAUCCGCCCUUUUCUAUGCAGUGGUCUGCUGGGGGAGUGGAUGGACGGAUAGGGACAGAUGCAGAAUUGACAAACUGGUGCAGAGGUCAAGCUCGGUGCUGGGAUGCCCUUUGGAGACUGUGGAGGUGGUGGCUGAGAGGAGGAUGUUAGCGAAGUUGACAUCCAUCAUGAAUGACCCACAUCACCACCUGCAUGACACUGAGCGUGCGCUGAGCAGCUCAUUCAGCCAGAGACUGAUACAUCCUUGCUGCAGGAAGGAGCGCUUUCGCAGAUCAUUCAUCCCGACAGCAGUUAGACUUUAUAACAUGUCAUGAUGUUAUGAGUCACCCAGAUGCUACCUUAGGGUCACCAUUACUUACCAUCUCAUACAUAACGCACCUUAUAGAGAUGCAGAAGCAGCAUCGACGGUUGGGGCGUGGCCAGGUCCGGGAGGCGGAGUUGAAGGGAGCAACGGGCGACGAUCAGGAUCUGCAGGACAAUCCCUCCCCCUGAACCUUACGGCACCUUGCAGAGAAUAUCAGUCCAGGGGAGUGGUCUGAAUUGAAUAGCUUUGAGUUUGAGGGGUUUCCAAGCCAAGACUUUGAGGUUGACUGUGGCAUCUACAUGUUGAUGGUAAGAUUCGUCAUUCAGAUAUUUUUGGACUGUCAAGAUGCUUUUGAGAAUAAGUCAUGAACAUUGACAUUUAUUUUUUAAUUGACAGUCUGCUUUAUAUGUGGUGCUGGAUGCUCCCUUUUAUUACACCAUAGUAAGUAGCUCUUUUUAGAGAGCAAUAAAGUAUGUGUGCAAAGAAGUCACUAAAUGACACUAAAUGCACUAAAUUGAUUUUUAAUAGUUAGACAUUCCGAAAUUGCGGAAAUGGUGGUGCCUGCUGCUAAUGGAAAACUUCGAUCUCCGAAGUCAUGGGAAGGUAUUUGCACACUGGACAAAGGAAUCAGAGGCUGUGCUGAGAGGUGAACAUGCACCUGUAUUCAGACUAAGAAAGCGCAAAUCUGUGGAACUUAGCCUGAAACCAGCAGAAGGGAUGUGCUGGAUGGAGACAACAUAGAAUCCAAGGAGCCAUUCCUCUUUGGUUUUCAGGUCCAAGAGGACAUGGAAUUAUUUUUACAGGCCUGUGUUGACCAGCGGGGCCUUCGGGUUAAUGCUGUCUGUUAUAAGAAUGAUUAAAUUACUGGCACAUGAGUGUGUUGAUUGAUUAUUAUUUUUUUAUUUCAUCCUGUUUGUUGUUGCCUUCUAAAUAAAUUUAACAGUUUAUUAAAUAUAA